GCCUGGGUGGCUCAGUUGGUUGAGCGCCUGGCUUCGGCUCAGGUCAUGAUCUCACAGUCCGUGAGUUCGAGCCCCACAUUGGGCU
rnacentral:tRNA from 1 species